GUGAACAGCAAUGCCUUCCCACAGGCCUGGCUGAAGGCAGAGUGCCGUGAAUCCCUUUCCUGAUGCCUGCCUACAGUUUCUCUCGAUUCUAAAGUGUCACCCAUCCUUCAUGAACAGACAUUAAUUCUGUACCUCAGGUGCAGAGGGAAUGAAUGCUGGCCUCACCAUAGCUGAGUAAGAGGAGAGGUUGCCACCAAACAACAGGGAAUUCAGCUUUCCCUUCCCCCUUCCUUCCUGGAGGGCACUUUGCACCAGCAGGGGCCGCUCUUGUCUGAAGUCAACUGUGCCAGCAUCAAGCUUAGUUUGAGUUUGAGCUGUGCCUAUGCUAACAGGAAGGGCUGGGCUGGGGGCAAACAACAGGGCUGGGCCGAGGAACUGUUCGUUCCUGGUGCCCAUCACUGACUACUGGCUACAAGGGCAGUGGUGGCAAUGUGUGUUUCAGGAGGAGACUGUACUCAUCGGGAUGCCCAGAUUCCCAGGAAGACCCCUUUCUGCAGAGCCACGAGGAACUGGACACCCUCCUGGGACCGCAGCAGCAGCAGCAGGGUGGCCAACCCUCCUACCCGGGUCAGAGUUCCAGCCAUCUGUCUGCUGCCUCUUUCUUUCACUCUGCUGGCAUGCUGUCCAAGGCUGUGUCCAUGAGUGGCAUCAAUUUCUUCUUGGACUGCUCAGAUCCAGAAGGUAACUCGUUCCGGUCCUCUGCCACAGACCUCAGGAAAUG
rnacentral:lncRNA from 1 species